UACGAAGGGGGGCUAGCGUUGCUCGGAAUCACUGGGCAUAAAGGGUGCGUAGGCGGGUCUUUUAAGUCAGGGGUGAAAUCCUGGAGCUCAACUCCAGAACUGCCUUUGAUACUGAAGAUCUUGAGUUCGGGAGAGGUGAGUGGAACUGCGAGUGUAGAGGUGAAAUUCGUAGAUAUUCGCAAGAACACCAGUGGCGAAGGCGGCUCACUGGCCCGAUACUGACGCUGAGGCACGAAAGCGUGGGGAGCAAACAGG
rnacentral:rRNA from 1 species